UACAGAGGAUGCAAGCGUUAUCCGGAAUGAUUGGGCGUAAAGCGUCUGUAGGUGGUUUUUUAAGUCCGCCGUCAAAUCCCAGGGCUCAACCCUGGACAGGCGGUGGAAACUACCAAGCUAGAGUAUGGUAGAGGCAGAGAGAAUUUCCGGUGGAGCGGUGAAAUGCGUAGAGAUCGGAAAGAAUACCGACGGCGAAGGCA
rnacentral:rRNA from 1 species